AUUGAACGCUGGCGGCAGGCCUAACACAUGCAAGUCGAACGAGUGGCGGACGGGGGAGAAAUGUCUGGGAAACUGCCCGAUGGAGGGGGAGAACUACUGGAAACGGUAGCGAAAAUCGCAUACCAUCGGAUGUGCCCAGAUGGGAUAAGCUAGUAGGUGGGGGAACGGCUCACAUAGGCGACGAUCCCUAGCGGGUCUGAGAGGAUGACCAGCCACACUGGGGCUAAGACACGGCCCAGCCUCCUACGGGAGGCAGCAGUGGGGAAUAUUGCACAAUGGGCGAAAGCCUGAUGCAGCCAUGCCGCUUGUAUGCAGAAGGCCUUCGGGUUGUAAAGUACUUUCAGCGAGGAGGCGUUACUCGCAGAAGAAGCACCGGCUAACUCCGUGCCAGCCGCCGCGGUAAUAC
rnacentral:rRNA from 1 species